GAUGAACGCUGGCGGCGUGCUUAACACAUGCAAGUCGAACGGAAAGGCCCUGCUUUUGUGGGGUGCUCGAGUGGCGAACGCGUGAGUAACACGUGAGUAACCUGCCCUUGACUUUGGGAUAACUUCAGGAAACUGGGGCUAAUAUCGGAUAGGAUCUCCUGCUGCAUGGUGGGCGUUGGAAAGUUUCGGCCGUUGGGGCUGGACUCGCGGGUUACGAGCUAGCUGGUGGGGUAGGUGCUUACCAAGGGUUUGACGGGUAGGCCGCCUGGGAGGGUGGCCGGGGUCCAUACGACUAAGGGAGGCACCAGUAUCGAACGGGAGGCAGCGGGCGGGAGUAUGACACAACGAGCGGAAGCCUGAUACAGCGGCGCUGCGUUCGGAAUGACCGCCUUCGGGGUGUGAACCGCUUUCGCCUGUGACGAAGCGUGAGUGACGGUACUGGGUAAAGAAGCACCGGCUAACUACGUG
rnacentral:rRNA from 1 species